CUGAGCUUAUGGAUCUCUCUUCUUCAUUCUUUAUUGCGUUUAUCAUUACAGCAAUUUGAGUUACGUUUGGCCUUUCAUUUGGAGAAGGAUGUACGCACUUCAAAGCUACCUGUAACAAGUUCACCAUCCUCUCUUCGCUUGCACCUUCUGAGAUCAAGGCCUUGUCAAAAACUUCAACAGUCCAUUCCUCUCUAACGACUGAGUGCACCCAACUUGCCAAAUCAAACCCAUUAUUUUGGAUUAACUUCCCUGUCAGAAGCUCAAGAAGAAUCACACCAAAGGCAUAGAUGUCAACCUUGAAUGUGCUAUAUAUGUUAUCUCUACUCAGAACAUUGUGUUUGUAACUAUCUAUUUGAGAAAGGAUUGAUUGGUCUUGAUUUUCAACCACCAUUAGACCAUAUUCACUGAUGCAGGGCUCCAUAUUCCUGUUAAAUAAG
rnacentral:misc_RNA from 1 species